rnacentral:rRNA from 1 species
AACGGCCGUACCAUGCUGAAUAUGCCGGUUCUCGUUAGAUCACCGAAGUCAAGCAUCAUUGGGCGCGGUCAGUACUUGGGUGGGUGACCACCUGGGAACACUGCGUGCCGUU